CAAAGGUGAGCCAGUACAAGAUGGACCCGCGUCUGAUUAGCUAGUUGGUAAGGUAACGGCUUACCAAGGCGACGAUCAGUAGCCGACCUGAGAGGGUGAUCGGCCACAUUGGAACUGAGACACGGUCCAAACUCCUACGGGAGGCAGCAGUGGGGAAUAUUGCACAAUGGGCGAAAGCCUGAUGCAGCAACGCCGCGUGAGUGAUGAAGGCCUUCGGGUCGUAAAACUCUGUCCUCAAGGAAGAUAAUGACGGUACUUGAGGAGGAAGCCCCGGCUAACUACGUGCCAGCAGCCGCGGUAAUACGUAGGGGGCUAGCGUUAUCCGGAUUUACUGGGCGUAAAGGGUGCGUAGGCGGUCUUUCAAGUCAGGAGUGAAAGGCUACGGCUCAACCGUAGUAAGCUCUUGAAACUGGGAGACUUGAGUGCAGGAGAGGAGAGUGGAAUUCCUAGUGUAGCGGUGAAAUGCGUAGAUAUUAGGAGGAACACCAGUUGCGAAGGCGGCUCUCUGGACUGUAACUGACGCUGAGGCACGAAAGCGUGGGGAGCAAACAGGAUUAGAUACCCUGGUAGUCCACGCUGUAAACGAUGAGUACUAGGUGUCGGGGGUUACCCCCUUCG
rnacentral:rRNA from 1 species